CUGCAUCAAUAAAGGCUUUUUAAUAUUUCCUUCAACAAGAGUGCCUUGGUUUUGAUGCUAUUCAGAUACAAUAAGAUAAU